AACGCGAAGAACCUUACCCAGGCUUGACUUCCUUGGAAUUUCUCCGAAAGGAGAGAGUGCUUUAUUGAACCAAGUGACAGGUGCUGCAUGGCCGUCGUCAGCUCGUGUCGUGAGAUGUUUGGUUAAGUCCAUUAACGAGCGCAACCCUUAUGUUUAGUUGAAUUUUUCUAAACAGACCGCCCUGGCAACAGGGAGGAAGGAGGGGAUGAUGUCAGGUCAGUAUUGCCCUUACGCCUGGGGCUACAAACACGCUACAAUGGCCGGUACAAAGGGCUGCCAAGUCGCGAGACGGAGCAAAUCCCAUCAAAGCCGGUCCCAGUUCGGAUUGCAGGCUGAAACUCGCCUGCAUGAAGUCGGAAUCGCUAGUAAUGGUAGGUCAGCUAUACUACCGUGAAUACGUUCCCGGGCCUUGUA
rnacentral:rRNA from 1 species